CCUACGGGUGGCAGCAGUGGGGAAUAUUGGGCAAUGGGCGCAAGCCUGACCCAGCAACGCCGCGUGAAGGAAGAAGGCUUUCGGGUUGUAAACUUCUUUUGUCAGGGACGAAGCAAGUGACGGUACCGGACGAAUAAGCCACGGCUAACUACGUGCCAGCAGCCGCGGUAAUACGUAGGUGGCAAGCGUUAUCCGGAUUUACUGGGUGUAACGGGCGUGUAGGCGGGACUGCAAGUCAGAUGUGAAAACCACGGGCUCAACCUGUGGCCUGCAUUUGAAACUGUAGUUCUUGAGUACUGGAGAGGCAGACGGAAUUCCUGUUGUAGCGGUGACAUGCGUAGAUCUUAGGAGGAACCCCAGUGGCGACGGCGGUCUGCUGGACAGCACCUGACGCUGAGGCGCGAAAGCGUGGGGAGCAAACAGGAUUAGAUACCCGGGUAGUC
rnacentral:rRNA from 1 species